CAGUAGUGAUCGCAAGAUGGCUGAGUAACGACGGUGGGGCCGUAGGGAGAGGAAUUCUGUGGCUUAUAUGGCUCGAAAUCCCCCUUCAUAAACAGACGCUGGGCUAAGGAGUGGAAGCAAGAGAAACAUCACACAAUGUCACGUGUUGCACUGAGACUGGUGCUGUCUAAUGUUUAACUGAAAAUAUAUAAAUUUGAAAGGUUUUUGUAGUUUUUCAUUGUUACUGUAUAAUAAUUUUGGUUAUUUACAGUAACCAGUUAUUGUAACUAUAGUUACACACACAAAUUUGAUACUUUAGUGACAAAAGAACUUGAAACAUUUUACAGUGCAGUUUUAACAACAUUGAAGCCAUUUUAUGAUAAAAAAGAACAAAAUAUUCUUGCUAAUAUGACUAAGUGCUCAAGUGUACGUCGCUUGGCGUGCCAAUGGUGUAGAGGAAAAGAGGCCUAGCAGAUAUUGACUAGGCCACAGGGACAAGUCAUUGUUUGGCCUGCGGCUUAGGUUUGAUGGUGAACAUUGUUGGUGUCCGUACACUGGUCCCCCCCUCUGUGGGCGGCCCCCCUAUCACGGAAUCCAAGAUGAUGGCACGCGCAAUACUGCAGUGUCGCCCCAAUUCCCACCCUUUCCCUGAGAGAACAUUAGUGUUGGAUCAGCCGGUGAAGAUUGGGAGAUCUGUGGCUCGUGCCCGGCCAGCAACCAACAAUGCCAUCUUUGACUGUAAGGUGCUCUCCAGGAACCAUGCCCUCUUGUGGUAUGAGAAUGGAAAGUUCUACCUGCAAGAUACCAAGAGCAGCAAUGGCACCUUCGUCAAUAACCAGCGCCUCAGCAAGGGAUCUGAAGAGUCGGCACCGAGGGAGGUCUGUUCAGGGGACAUUGUACAGUUUGGUGUUGAUGUCAUGGAGAAUUCCAAGAAAGUGACACAUGGCUGUAUAGUUGCGACAUUGAAGCUGUAUAUGCCUGAUGGUCAAGAAGCAAAAGCCAGUCCGUCAACAGCAGUGGGUGGAGCAGUGUCUAGUGUGUCUGCUCAGGAACUAUACCAGCUACGUACAUACCUGCAGGAAGCUCAGCAUCGGGAACAACAAAUUGAAACGAAAUUGGCGACUUUACAACGUCUGGUUUCAUCUACUCAGGAAGCAGCUACUCACAGCUGGAAAGCAAUGAUUGAUGAAGACCGAUUACUUCAGCGACUUGAAACUCUUGAAGCUCAACUUACUACAUAUGCUAAAAAUUACCCUGAAGACAGUGUUCGAGAAGAGAUGAGGAGAUUACUGGACGAGAAGGGUCAGUACGAAACCACUGCCAAAGAAUCACUGAGACGAGUUUUACAGGAAAAGUUAGAUGCUGUCACAAAACUUGCAGAUUUAGAAAGAACAUUAAGUACAUCAGAAGAUGAAUUAGCUCAUAUGAAGGAAAUAUUUGAAACUACUCAAAAGGAGCUUGUUGAAUUGUUAGAGAAGCAGUCUGCUCAAAGUGAACAAGUUGCACAACUAACAGAAAAAUUAAAGGCUGCAGAGGACCAGUUAAAGGAUGCAGAAGAAAACUACGAACAGGAGAAAAAAGAACUACAAAACAAAUUAUCUGAGAAAUCUAGUGAAGAAAAUAAAUUAAUGGCUAGAAUAGAAAGUAUAACAGCAGAAAGUGACUUCACCAAAGAACAAUUAUGUGCCAUGAAAGCAAAAUAUGAGAAUAUUAAAAAUGGUGAAAUAAGUGGACUUAUAAAGCCAGUUAAAGACUCUUCAGGUGUGGAUAUGUUAAGUAUAGAGCCUUGUGACAUCAAACAAGCCCUAGAAACAACACAGAGGGAGAUCCAUACACUAAAGGACCGCCUUCAAACUGCUCAGGAUGAACUCAGGCAAGCCGAGGCAAAUGUUUCCCAGCUCAAACAUGAAGCUGAGCUGGCAGAUAGUGCGGAGGCUGGAUGCUUGAGCACGCGCGCCCGCCUCCAGGAGGAACUUGCCGACAACAAAGCCAAGAGUGGAGCGAGCACAGCAUUAGCAGAGCACCUACAAGCCCAGAUAGUAACCUUAGAGGAUCGUUUACGGGAGUACCAGGUGGUGUCCGAGAUCCCUGUGAUAUAUGAUGACAUCUACGACGACAACACUCUUGUAAGGAAAAAGAAGGAUUCUAUAAAAAGUAAAGACAAACUAAAUGAAGAUGAUACCAAAGACGAAGAAAGACCGAAUGACUUGGAUGAUUCCCGUGAUGCAGACACUACUCUCACAAUCAUCCCGACCAAGGAAUGCAUGGACUCGAAUGUUAAUGGUAGUUUGGAGGAUAAAGAUGAGGAAAAGGAAGUGGAGGUAGCCCAAGAAUCAAUAUUACGCUCUGACAUCUUAAAACUUCAAGAACUUUUGGAAUCUAAUCGAAAAGCACAAGAGGAUUCAGAAAAGGAAGUAACUCGUAUUCGGGACGAUUUGGCGCAGGCAUCUACAGCAGCCAUCACAGCAUCACAUGAAGCUUCCAACCUUCGGCAACAAUUAGCUGCUAGUGAAGCCUUAAUGAGUGAAAAGGUGAAAACAGUUGGAUCACUACAAAAUCAAGUGAGCCGUCUUGAGGAUUCUUCUAAAGAGGUGCAGAUGCAGUUGUCAAACCUUACACUAAGAUUAAGGGACGAGCAACAGAAGGUUCAGGCUGCUCAGGAGGAAACUCGAUUACUUAGAGAGAAACUAAGUGAGGCAGAAGAAUUAGCAAGCCUUAGUGUGCAGGAAGCCGAAUCUCUAAAGAGACGGAUAGUAGGGCUUGAGGAGAGAUUGCAGUUCAACCAGGCCUCUCCGACAACGCCCCUGAUUCUUCCUCCUCCAUCUCGCGUCCCCUCUGGCAGUAAUGAAUUCUUGAGAAAUGACACACUCGACGAAUGUGACACCCCUCCAGCAACAAGGGAAGGAUCCACCGAGGAGAGUACUACCAACCCAAGUGCAGAUGAAACUUCGGUGUCUUCCUCAAGAAUAUCAGUUAGCAAUACACCAGAUAAUUCUGGAACUCAGACUUACAACAUACACUCUCCCGAAACCAGUCAAUCGGUUACAGCCAAAGAAAUAGAGCUUAGUGAAUUAAAAAAUACCCUGAUAAAAUUAAAUGAAGAGCUAUCCCAGACUCGGAAAGAAUGUGCCUCUUUGCAGGAGAGGGAACGCAUUCUUCAACAAACACUAGAAACUGAAAAGAGGAAAAGUAGCGAAAAUCUGAAUGAUACUCGACAAGAUUUGAUUGAUGGAUUAAUAACGCCAGUUUUGAAGGACACAUCAUUCGUAUCAAACAAGCUGGAAAAGCUUCAAGAGGAGUUGGCUUCCUUGAGGGAAGAGCGUAAUCAACUACGGAGUAAGCUCGGCAUAGUGGAUGAAGAUUAUGAGCUCCUGGCCGUACAAAACAAGAUGACGAUCCCAACAUGGGUCUUGGGAGUUGUGGUGAUGGCUCUGGUUCUUGGCUCUGAAUUUCUUCAAAGCCUUUUGUAGGAAGAAAUAAGCAAAGCUUUUACACAUCCGAGUUUGCCUGUUAUUAACACACAUGCACUAAAGCUUGUUGUUUGGCAAGUUAUUGCAAAAUGUACAGAAGAAACAGAGGAAUUAUAGAUUUAAAAAAAAUCCCUAUUUUCGAUCAACGUGUGUGAUCAUUGUGCCAAGAUUUGUAUUACUGAUGUACAGUAUAGGUUAUAUUAAAGUGUAUUUAGAUUGUACAGUUUCCCCUUGAUAUUGAUUUAAGCUAAUAUUACUAGUAUAUAUAAACUAGUGUUGCAUAGCAUCCCUUCUACUGUUGUAUCUAUGUAAUAUAACUACAGUAUGUAUAUAUAGCUAUUGUUUGUAAAAAAGAUAUGUAGAAGUCCUCUAAUAUAAAAAAAAAAAUCGAGAGAAUUAAAUAUAAUCCCUGAGUGCGACAGAGAAGUUAGUCUGAGCCAGUCCCAGAAGCCUUGAGAUAUUAGCGAAUGUAAGCCCUGCAAGGCUCUUAGAAGGCCCCUUGGGAAGAGGUUGUUGCUGCCUCGGCCCGACCACAAGUCACACCUACAGGCCGUGGCGCUAAGCAUCGUGCCACUGUGUAUUCUUCUCCUGGGCUUCUUCACUGCAUUUUAUGACAUCAUCUCUUCCAUCACCGGAACUAGAGAGUUCCACCCACCAUCCUAGAUACAAUUAUAAAUAGUUUCAAAUAUCUUUAUACAUUUGGUAUGAAAUAAAUUAUCCCGUCUUUCAUUUUCAAAGGCACUCCUCAUUAUUAUUAAUUUUGAUGCUGUAUUUUGUCUAUUGUCAUUAUUAUCUCAAUAAUCCAUUUACUAUUACAGAAAAAAUUAAUGGUUCCUUAUGUAAUCAUUUAUAAAUAUGUUACUUAGGUCACCAUAUUUAUCUCCAGUUAUUAACAUGCUGGUACUGUACUUCAUUUUAACGUUCUUGAUUCUAAUUGCCAAGUUGGAUUUUUGGUAUUGAAGUUAAGCCAUUUAUGUGGAGAGAUGGUUCAGUAUUGUGCUGAAGGCAGUAUAUUGCUGGAUCUGCUUCCUCAGGGAACUGAGUGUAUGAAGAGGUUUUGUGAUGUGUGUAUAUGUGAAUUGUUUCUCUUCAACUACUCUAACUGUAAGACUAAUCAAAGGAAAGAUUACCAAUCUUGGAUGUGUACACGGGGGGAUGACCAGAGUAUCAAAGCUUGGUCAUCCAUUUCACUGGCCACAAGUCCCCAGGUGUCGUGUGUGUUUUAUAUUGAUGUAAUGAAUAUUUCAAAAUGCAGCGGUACUGUUCGCUUGCCAAAUAUGUUGCUAGAAUGAUUGUGGAGUUGGUAUAACCAAAAUUGUUAUAGCUGUUUAGAAUGAUUACAGGUUGAUUUUCUUAAAUGUGUUGCACAAAUGAUGUAGAACCUGUGAUUCUUUUAUUUAUACAGUUUCUCUGGUGUUAUUAUAUAAUAUCAGAGAUUGCAGUGCAGUGUGUACACAAAGAUGAGAUCUUGGUUGUAUAAGUCAGUGAAAUAGGUAAGUGAAAUAAGUUUUUCUUAUUGUGAAACAUUGCUAUCGAUUGCAUAUUUUUAUUACAUGGAAUGUAUCCUUCCAAUUGUUGGAUAUAUUUUCUAAACUGAUAAAUCAACUCUAUGGCUACAACUGUGCAUAUUAUUUUUAUAUUGGUUUUCUUAACAUAAUGAAAGCUGAGAAGGCUCAUGAUGAAAGUUAAGAAAUUCUUAAUGUAAAUGUAUUGCUGCAGUAAUUGUUAUAAGUUUUUUUUUUGGGGGGGGGGGGGGGAGGGAGGGGUAGAAGUACAAUAAUAAUUUGAUAUAUUCAGCACUUAACAAAGACAUAUAAAGAUUUUAUAACCCUGACUUUGCCUAUCAUCAGCAUUGAAUACAUACAUAUGUAAGUACAUACACUGUGUGUCUAUUUACACACACACAGUAUGAAUUUACACACACAAAUAUAUAUAUAUAUAUAUAUAUAUAUAUAUAUAUAUAUAUAUAUAUAUAUAUAUAUAUAUAUAUAUAUAUAUAUAUAUAUAUAUAUAUAUAUAUAUAUAUAAUUUUUAUUUAUAAAAAUCAAAAUUCUUUUUAGUCUUAGACAAAUCAGCUGUUUAAAUGAUAAAGCAUCUAAAUACUGUAAUCCCAGGUUUAGUCAUUGUAAGUUGUAUGGAUUGGCAAAGAUUUAUGGUAUUGAAUGAAGGGUAUAUAACAAUUCACAAGGUGCAGAUGGCACACAACAUAUUAAAGUUGGGCCUUUUACUAUUAAUACAUGAAAUUCAUUACAAUUGUCCAAUCUUGCUCACAAUUUUGUGCAAUAAUGCUAGUUUUGAUAUGGUGACUAUUUUCAUCAGCUUGAAGUCAAAUGGAAUUCAGUUCAUGCAGACAAUAUUCAAGCAUUUGUUAUUAUCUUGUUCUGUAUUCAUCAUAGUCAUAAAAAUUGUCUUGAAUGGCUAAACAAAAUUAUAUUCGGCAUAUAUUUUGCACGCGUAAUAUGAGAGGUGUAGCCAAUAUGUUGCCGUACCUGUUCUUUUGUCUGUGAUAAAAAGUUAUUAUUAUUAUUAUUGUAUCUUUUCUUUUCUCAUGUUUUAACAUUAUUAAUCCUGUACCUUUUGUCAUUAGCAUAUUGGUUACACCAUUACCUCUUGAAUGACAUUGGUGAUAACUUCAUGAUGGACAUUAAGGAAAGUGGGGUAUUGAAAUUUCUUCCUAAAGCUUGAGCGUUGUACAAGUAACACGGACACUUCUCAGUUGCGGUGUGCCAGCUGCUUGGACGUCUUAUGUAGUGUCAUUUAGAAGCAACUUAAUUUGCAACCCAUGGAAACUUUGAAGAAAGUCUUGUCAGUGCUACGUCAGCAUAAGUUUGUGUCAAGAUAGGGAAAGUGAAAUGUAUAUACAGAAGCUGCCAAAUUCCCUGACACACAUUGCUCGAUUAAACUUGACAAAGGCAUCCUAGUCACCUGUUUGGUUUUGCAGCCAACCUCACCUGACCUCUCUUGAAAGUCAUGUACAGAAAACUGCAGUAGGAAACCUCAUGUAAAUAGAAUGACGUAUGGUCACCAAGACUGUGUAUAAAGACGGAGUUAUAUACUGCCAUUAUUCAGUAGUAUACUGUAUAUUCAAAACUUACUCGUAGAUAUUUAUGCUUGUUUGAUACAAGAUCAUGUUAUUAUUGUAAUUCUUGUUCACUUAAUUUUAAAAAAAGGAUGUUACUUUGUGAGCUUCAGGCAUAAUACAUGAACCUAUUUCCUAUGAGUUUUAUCCAUGCUUUUAUACUUCAGUCUCAGAGGGAAAGUUUCUAAUGUAGACGAUGUUCUUAUAUCUAAUUAUUGAGAGUCAGAAGGUGUAUGUCCCAUCUAGCACAUUUCAUAGGUGUCAUGUAAACUACAGUAUAUCCAGUUUUUUAUGAAUCACAUGUACAAACAAGCCAAGCACAGAGUCUACCAUAACCUGGUCAGGCUUAUCAAAGGGCAGAUUAGACAUGUAAAAAUUAUACGUACUGUACUGAAGAUGAUCUUGGGGCGAUUAGUCUGAGCGGAAAAAUUGCCUCAUCAUUUUAUUGAACAAAUCUAGAACAAUGUUGCCAAGUCAUAAACAUGUUGCAUAUUCUGCUCUUUAUGAAUGCUGCCAGUAUUGGGCACUGUGGUCAGGCACCAAUGCUCAUAAUGUGCUGCGCUUAGGAUGUCAGUCAAGAAACGGAACAUUUAAACAAUGAGAUGUUCACAAGCUUCCAAAUAUAAAUAUUCAGCAUCAA
rnacentral:misc_RNA from 1 species